rfam:Pelecanus crispus contig62221, whole genome shotgun sequence.
CCAAAGGCUCUUUUCAGAGCCACCCACUGCGUCAGGAAAAGGGCUG